rnacentral:rRNA from 1 species
AACGAACGCUGGCGGCAGGCUUAACACAUGCAAGUCGAGCGCCCCGCAAGGGGAGCGGCAGACGGGUGAGUAACGCGUGGGAAUCUACCCAUCUCUACGGAAUAACGCAUGGAAACGUGUGCUAAUACCGUAUACGUCCUUCGGGAGACAGAUUUAUCGGAGAUGGAUGAGGCCGCGUGGGAUUAGCUAGUUGGUGGGGGUAAAGGCCUACCAAGGCGACGAUCCAUAGCUGGUCUGAGAGGAUGAUCAGCCACACUGGGACUGAGACACGGCCCAGACUCCUGCGGGAGGCAGCAGUGGGGAAUAUUGGACAAUGGGCGCAAGCCUGAUCCAUCCAUGCCGCGUGAGUGAUGAAGGCCCUAGGGUUGUAAAGCUCUUUCACCGGUGAAGAUAAUGACGGUAACCGGAGAAGAAGCCCCGGCUAACUUCGUGCCAGCCGCCGCCGUAACAC